rnacentral:tRNA from 6 species
UUGGGAUAGCUCAGUUGGUAGAGCAG